AACGAACGCUGGCGGCAUGCCUAACACAUGCAAGUCGAACGAGACCGUCGGGCCUAGUGGCGCACGGGGACGUAACGCGGGGUAACCUGCCCGUAGGUUCGGAAUAACUCCCCGAAAGGGGAGCUAAUACAGGAGAAGGUCUUAGGACCAAAGAUUUAUGGCCUUUGGAUGGGGCCGCGUUGGAUUAGUUAGUUGGUAGUGUAAAAGCCGACCAAGGCGACGAUCCAUAGCUGGUCGGAGAGGAUGCCAAUCCACACUGGGACUGAGACACGGCCCAGACCGCUACGGGAGGCAGCAGUGGGGAGUAUUGGACGAUGGGGGAAAGCCUGAUCCAGCCAUGCCGCGUGAGUGAUGAAGGGGUUAGUGUUGUAAAGCUCUUUUACCCGGGAUGAUAAUGACAGUACCGGGAGAAUAAGCUCCGGCUAACUCCGUG
rnacentral:rRNA from 1 species